rnacentral:rRNA from 1 species
UACGUAGGGGGCAAGCGUUGUCCGGAUUUAUUGGGCGUAAAGAGCGUGUAGGCGGCCAGGUAGGUCAGCUGUGAAAACUCGAGGCUUAACCUCGAGACGCCGGCUGAAACUCUCUGGCUAGAGUCCGGAAGAGGAGAGCGGAAUUCCUGGUGUAGCGGUGGAAUGCGCAGAUAUCAGGAGGAACACCAGUAGCGAAGGCGGCACUCUGGGCCGGUACUGACGCUGAGGAGCGAAAGCCAGGGGAGCAAACGGG